rnacentral:rRNA from 1 species
UGCAUAUCAAAAAGCGGAGGAAAAGAAACCAACAGGGAUUGCCUUAGUAGCGGCGAGUGAAGCGGCAAAAGCUCAAAUUUGAAAUCUGGCACUUUCAGUGUCCGAGUUGUAAUUUGAAGAAGGUAUCUUUGGGUCUGGCUCUUGUCUAUGUUUCUUGGAACAGAACGUCACAGAGGGUGAGAAUCCCGUGCGAUGAGAUGUCCCAGACCUAUGUAAAGUUCCUUCGAAGAGUCGAGUUGUUUGGGAAUGCAGCUCUAAGUGGGUGGUAAAUUCCAUCUAAAGCUAAAUAUUGGCGAGAGACCGAUAGCGAACAAGUACAGUGAUGGAAAGAUGAAAAGAACUUUGAAAAGAGAGUGAAAAAGUACGUGAAAUUGUUGAAAGGGAAGGGCUUGAGAUCAGACUUGGUAUUUUGUAUGUUACUCUCUCGGGGGUGGCCUCUACAGUUUACCGGGCCAGCAUCAGUUUGAGCGGUAGGAUAAGUGCAAAGAAAUGUGGCACUGCUUCGGUAGUGUGUUAUAGUCUUUGUCGAUACUGCCAGCUUAGACUGAGGACUGCGGCUUCGGCCUAGGAUGUUGGCAUAAUGAUCUUAAGUCGCCCGUCUUGAAACACGGACC